rnacentral:rRNA from 1 species
GUGCACGCUGGCGGUAGGCCUAACCCAUGCAAGUCGAACGGCAGCACCGUAAGAGCUUGCUCUUACGGGUGGCGAGUGGCGGACGGGUGAGGAAUACAUCGGAAUCUACUUUUUCGUGGGGGAUAACGUAGGGAAACUUACGCUAAUACCGCAUACGACCUACGGGUGAAAGCAGGGGAUCUUCGGACCUUGCGCGAUUGAAUGAGCCGAUGUCGGAUUAGCUAGUUGGCGGGGUAAAGGCCCACCAAGGCGACGAUCCGUAGCUGGUCUGAGAGGAUGAUCAGCCACACUGGAACUGAGACACGGUCCAGACUCCUACGGGAGGCAGCAGUGGGGAAUAUUGGACAAUGGGCGCAAGCCUGAUCCAGCCAUACCGCGUGGGUGAAGAAGGCCUUCGGGUUGUAAAGCCCUUUUGUUGGGAAAGAAAAGCAGCAGGUUAAUACCCCGCUGUUCUGACGGUACCAAAAGAAUAAGCACCGGCUAACUUCGUG